rnacentral:rRNA from 1 species
GAUGAACGCUGGCGGCGUGCCUAAUACAUGCAAGUCGAGCGAACAGACGAGGAGCUUGCUCCUCUGACGUUAGCGGAGGACGGGUGAGUAACACGUGGAUAACCUACCUAUAAGACUGGGAUAACUUCGGGAAAGCGGAGCUAAUAGCGGAUAAUAUAUUGAACCGCAUGGUUCAAUAGUGAAAGACGGUUUUGCUGUCACUUAUAGAUGGAUCCGCGCCGCAUGAGCUAGUUGGUAAGGUAACGGCUUACCAAGGCAACGAUGCGUAGCCGACCUGAGAGAGGGAUCGGCCACACGGGAACUGAGACACGGUCCAGACUCCUACGGGAGGCAGCAGUAGGGAAUCUUCCGCAAUGGGCGAAAGCCUGACGGAGCAACGCCGCGUGAGUGAUGAAGGUCUUCGGAUCGUAAAACUCUGUUAUUAGGGAAGAACAAAUGUGUAAGUAACUAUGCACGUCUUGACGGUACCUAAUCAGAAAGCCACGGCUAACUACGUG